UCCUAGUCACAUUCUUUAGAAUAUCCUCCAAUUUGCAAAUGCUCCCAGAUAAAUAUACUGAGUAUUGCAGAAUUUACACAGUGGGCAAAAAAAAAAAAUGUUGGUAGGUUUCCACCCCCCAAACAAUUCCAAACACUCAGGUUUUAAAAAAUGGAGCUAUCUCUAUUUGAGAGUGAAUUUCUAUGAAAAUAAAUUUCUGGCAUUUCCCUUAGACAUACAAUCUUUUAGUCAUUUUAAGCCAUAUGGCAUAUAAACUUUCACUGUUUAUCCUGUUAGUAAUUAGAGUAGCACAUUUUGAAAUUGAAGACAAACUAGAGAUAAAGUAAGAUUUUUUUCCCCAAAGACCUGGAAAUGAAAUAAUGUGUUUUACACUUUUUCAGGAAAAGAAAAGUGAUAUUUCUUCAAGUGGCAGUGCAUGAAGCAAGAGCCAUGAAAAAAAAAUUAAGAAACGCCCAAGUCAGCUUCUGGAACCUGCAAGGAACCACCCUUCUGUGAUCCUUACCUGUGGCUGUGCACAGGUGGUGCUUUGUGAUGCCAAACACCCCAGGGCUACCAUUGGCUGGAGGAAUUUCCUGCUGACCAAUCAAAGCUAAAGGGCGUGGCUCCCCAUUGUCCCUGGAGGGUAUAUAAAGGGCUCAGGGGCCCUGGAGAGGGCCAGUGUUGCUACAGCAUGGCGGAGGUUAUUGAGGCAGUGCUGGGGUCUAAUUCAGAUGCUGAAAACAAAACCGAAACCACAGAUGUAAAGGAAGUUCCAGAAAUCAAAGAGAGGAAGACCCCUUGUCAAUCAAAGGACAAAGAACGUGAGAAGGUGCGGAAGAUACUUGCAAAAGUUAAAUCGGCCCUUCAGGACAACGUAGAAAAGCGUAAGAAAGGAAGGAAAUCGACCAUACUGGUCUGUUACCGCAGACACAGCAAAAUGAAGACUGAAAAUCAGCUGAAGAUGAAGACGGAGGAAGAAAGCCUGUCCCCACUCUGGGCAACACCCUAUGCCUGCCAGGGGCCAAAGAUCUCAAAGUAGCUGGUACCUCCCCAGAAAAAGCACUGGCGAGACGGAUGCUUAGGUAGAGAUCAAAAUUUUCACGGUGGUCACCUGUGAGGAGACCAAAUGAAGUGCACGGAUAUUGAUUAAAACAACAAGUUGCAAAUGGAGAUGUGUGUAUGUGUCUUUGUGUUCUCUGAUGGUGAGAGGGGAAAGGAAAGGGGCAAGUGUAUGAAAAGGGAGG
rnacentral:lncRNA from 1 species